rnacentral:rRNA from 1 species
GACAGAGGUGGCAAGCGUUGCUCGGAGUUACUGGGCAUAAAGGGCGCGUAGGCGGUCGAGUGCGUCGGUGGUGAAAUCCCCGGGCUCAACCCGGGAACUGCCAUCGAUACGGCCCGACUCGAGUGCGGGAGGGGAGAGUGGAACUCCUGGUGGAGCGGUGAAAUGCGUAGAUAUCAGGAGGAACGCCGGUGGCGAAAGCGACUCUCUAGUCCGCAACUGACGCUGAGGCGCGAAAGCCAGGGGAGCAAACGGG